rnacentral:lncRNA from 1 species
GGAGCAGCACGAACCUUAGUUGAUGGUCGAUCCUGAGACAAAGCAAUGGUUCUAAACACACAAAAUGCGAAGCAUUGGACUGGACCUAGAGGAGUUGAUGGACAAAAUGAUACCAGAAACAUGACAAGUAUGCACUCACUAAUCACUACAUUAAAUCACUAACUCUCAGGCUCUGUCCUAAAUCCUAAUCAAUUCGUUGUGGAGCUUUUCUGUUUCCUCUAUCCAGUUACCUUUUGGUACAUGAUGAAUUAGUUAAGGAAAUAUACAUCCCUUAUAUAUCAAAUAUCACAAACAGCAAUUUGAAUUUAUCCUUCAUGUGAGAACUAAAAUUUGGAUGGUUGUCACCACAUGCCUACUUAGCAUUAUUGUUGUGCCGGAUGCCAAGAAUUGAACCACACAUAGUAAUCAGAUUGUAAGAGAAACACAUCAUCAUCCAAUCAAGAUAACAAAGGAAUGGAAUUGGAUAGAAUGAAAAGAAACCAAGAACUUCAUAAUGCCAAAAUACCACAAUCAAGUAACUUCAUCAAAACCCACCAAACACAUAAUCUUGUUUCACCGGAGACAUACCGUGAUAAAAUUGCAAGUACUCUGACCAUCUGCUCUGACGUAGUUGUUGGUGGUGCUACUAUGAAUCCCUGCAGGAAUCUGCUUGCUAACGUCUACUGGCUUAGGAGCGGCAUUAGGCUUUGGCGAAGGUUCUUUACUAGCA